CCAACCUACUCCUACAACGAAUAACCGGACGAAAGUCGGACUAAUACCGUAUGAUAUCCUAUGCAGGCAUCUAACUAGGAUUAAAGGUUUAGCGGUAAGGGAUGGGGAUGCGUCUGAUUAGGCAGUUGGCGGGGUAACGGCCCACCAAACCGACGAUAAGUAGGGGUUCUGAGAGGAAGGUCCCCCACAUUGGAACUGAGACACGGUCCAAACUCCUACGGGAGGCAGCAGCC
rnacentral:rRNA from 1 species